CUCCCGACCUUGUGAUCUGCCUGCCUCGGCCUCCCAAAGGGCUGGGAUUACAGGUAGGAGCCACCAUGCCUGGCACCAUAGUCUUUUAUAAACAAAUCUUGGAAGUGACAAGUAUCGCUUCUGUUGAUCUCAUCAGUCUCAGGCCAUCUCUCUUGCAGUGUCAUAGGGGUCUGCCCAAGCAUGGAAGACCAGGCUGUGGGAGGAAAGAGGGCCAUCUUGGAGGCCGGCCACCACAGCGACUGACCCCGACUUUGCCUGGACAGCAUCUGAGGAAAUGUAACUGGCUAGGUUUUUGUAACAUACGGGAGUUUAUUAGAGGAUCAAAGAGAGGCAUAAAGUAAAUGUAUAUUGG